AUCAUUCCCACUCACUCAGCAGUCACGUUUCUCCCCGUCAAAUUUAAAAAGAAAAAAAGUUUAUUUUAAGCCCUAAACUGAAAUUUGGAGGGAACCCAAACAGAGAGUAAACACCCUGUUUUUCGCAAGUUUUAGAAUCGACAACAUCCCCUCUUGUUCUUGCUGCUUGGUUCUCUCUUGGUUUGCUAGAAUAGAUAGGGCAUCACCGCUCUUUGCUAGGAUAGGAGAAGGACACGCAUUAAAGCCCGGGAACAAAUGCUUCAAGGCUGUACCUCCUUCGUCCCGAUCGGCCAUUACCAGUAGCAGAAGAUUACCCAACUACAGGACCCCAGUCAUCUUCUUCCCAUCCCAUAGUUUCUGUCCCUUCAUCCCCGCCCAGUCGCUAGGCACCUGCGAAGGAAUGGAGCUUUUUUAUUCAACAGAGCAUCUUUCGUUAACUCUCUUUACACACUUAUAUUCAAUAUAAGCUGUCAAAGAAUAUUGGACUGGUUGUUGUGUGAAAGAUCUUCAAUUAUUUGUCUUCAGGAAUGAAAUUAAUUGAUGUAAAUGUGCAUCUUGUGAGCAAAGAGAUACAAAUGGCCUGACUGCAGAGAACAGUGAAUUGAAACUGCGCUUGCAAAUAAUGAAGCAACAGGUCCAUUUGCAAGAUGGUGCAGGUCUCUUGGGAACUUUUUUAUAAAGACUAAAAUCCAGUUCUAGUCGACUUAUUGUUUCUCUUUCAUCUUAUAUAUGGUUUUACUAGACAUAUUGAGACCAUAUUGUCUAAGUCAAUAAUUUGUAUUAUUUCCCAUGGGAAUUUGAACUUAGGCAAGAACAUGAAAAACACACUUUGAUGCUUUGUAUUUGGGAACAGUUGAAGGUUGCUUUUAUUGUCAAUUAUGUGUUUAUACACACACACACACACACACACAUUCUAUGUGAAUGUCAAAGCAAGAGAUAGAUAGAUAGAGAGGAUAUACUUAUUCUUUCUCUUUAGUUGCGGAGGGUUUGAAUCCUCACAUGGUUCAAUUUCAUUCUCCAUUUUCCAACAGAACUUUUUACUAUUUCGUUUCAAUAUGUUUAUUACCUCUUGUUGUCUGUUAAUUAUUGUAUUUUUGUUAGAGCCUUUGUUGCUUCUGGAGUGUUCACACAUCAGCAUGCGAUUAUUUGUUUAACAUUUUCUGUCUGUGUUCUGAUGUGCAGCCCUGUGUUGCUUCCAUGUUAGCAGCUUAACUUUAUCGUACCUUUACGUGAUGCAUGUUUGAUCUAUGGCCAUGCGACAUCAGCAGCAGCAGCGAAAUUACCCCUAGCAGCAACAAAACAGCCCCAGGGGGUAGCAACCCCAACAGCAGCCAAAAAACCAGCAGCAGCAGCGAGAAAUCAACCCAGGAGCAGCAACCAAAACCCCAACAGCAGCAGCAAAAUCACCUCGAGCAACAGUAAAGAAAAAUCCCAGUGGCAGCAAAACAGCCCCAGGGACAGCAGCCCUAACAGCAGCAAAAAGACACCAAUAGCACCAAAAGGCCCCAGCAACAGCAGCAAAUCAACCCAAGAGUAGCAAAUCAUUUCAUUGCAGAGGAGACUAUUUUUAUUUGUUAUUGUUGACAAAGUUUGAUGUUAUAUAGACGACAGAAUUUAUGAUUUAAUGUGAUGCAUUCAAUAGGAAAUAUGAUUUAUU